rnacentral:lncRNA from 1 species
CUCACAGGAGGCCCUAGGCUUGAAAGAUGGGAUUUCGGAUGUUGGAAUCAUGAGGCUUUUGUUUAAGAGUUGCUUAAGAUGUUCUUCAGAUCCUGAAUUCCAGCAGAACAGCUGACAUCCACAACCAGUUUGAGGAUCCCCACAGAAGAGCUGAAUCAACAUGAGAAUGCAGUUUCUUCAUCUCUCCAGUCCAUGACUUCACCCUGCAAUCCCCACAGAAGAGCUGAAUCAACAUGAGAAUGCAGUUUCUUCAUCUCUCCAGUCCAUGACUUCACCCUGCAAUCCCCACACCUCAGCCCACUCCAAACCCCUUACAAACUCCUCAGGGAGGCAAAUCUGAGGUUUCCUUCCAUCUCCUUGUUCAGAUGCCCUAUGAUUAUUAAACCCUUUCUCUGCUGCAAUCCUUGAGGUCAGUGUGUCCACUUGCCAUGCUUUAGGUAAGGAACCUGUUACAGUCACACUUCCAUGUCCUCUUCCACGGUGCCACUCUCCCACCACAUCAAUGUUACCAACCCAGAAGCUCUCUAAAUUUCACUGUUCAAGAGUAUUUAUCAAAGCUUUGUUUUGUAGGUGUGUUUGAUCAAAUCAUUGGCCAUUGGUGAUUGAGCUCAAUCUCCAGCCUUUCUCCCCUCCCGGGAGGUUGGAGGGUGGGGUUAAAUGUUCAACCCUCUGAUCCCAUGUUUGGUCUUUCUGGGGACCAGUCCCCAACCUAAAUCUAUCUAAGGCCACCCUGAGUCACCUCAUUAACAUAAACUCUAGUAUGGUCAAAAGGAGCUCAUUAUGAAUAACAAAAGAUACACCUAUCACUCAAGAAAUUCUAAUAAUUUAGGAGCUCUGUGCCAGGAACUGGAGGCAAAUAAAGACCAACUAUAUUAUACCACAACUCAACACCAUUAAUUUGAUUUAUAAAGCUAUGAAGUUAGACAGUGAGACAAACUUUCCUGAACCAUGUACGCAAAGACCACCCCCAAAAUUUCCCCCAAAGUUACUUCCCGAAGAAGCUUUGUCAAAAUUUCCAUUAGAAGUUAUUUUCGGCCAGAUGCAGUGGCUCAUGCCUGUAAUCCCAGCAAUUUGGGAGGCCGAGGCAGGCAGAUCAUGAGGUCAGGACUUCAAGACCAGCGUGACCAACAUGGUG